CACUUGGCUGAGGUCCGAGAAAUGCAGUAUAAAAAUAAAGGAGCUGCGCCACAUCAGGGCUGCUGCAGCCACUGUCUGUCUAUCUUUGUUGUGUUGUCUGUGUUUUUUGUUCACUCCCAUUUCACCUGAGUGAGCAGCACACAACAUUUGGCGCCCAACGUGGGGCUCAAACCACCGUGGAGCAGGAACCCACAACCCUGAAGAAAUUGGAGAUAGGACGCCGGGGGUGACUUGGGACCCAGAAGGGGGCCAACUUCAGGUCAUCCUGGAUAUAAGUGCAAGAGAUUUCUCCAAGCUCUGCCAUAUGAUUGCGAUGACAACUUGAAACUUUCAGAUCCUGCUGCUGUUGCCAUUGCAGCUGCAUUCCUCCUACCGGUUCCUGGACUUGUCGCUGGAAUGCAGAAAUAUCUAAGCUGCCCUGUGCUUCUAUAUUAUCUGAACUCAACCAAGAAGUGAGAGAAGCGUGAGUUGCAGUACUUCAGAAUCACACUACCAUAGACUAUCUGCUGUUAAAAGAACAUGUAAGAUGUAAACAGCUUCCAAGAAUAUGUUAUUUCAAUUUGUCUGAUUUUUCCCAAACUAUUCAAAAUCAAUUAGAUGAUAUCCAUCAUGUUGUCAAUAAGUUUUCACAAAUGCCUGAGUUACCUGACUGGUUUUCUUAAUUUCAUUGGAUAUGGCUAGUAAUUAUAAGUCUGCCUUUGUUAUGUAUCUGUAUUCCUGUUCUGUUAAUGUGUGUACACAAUUUAAUAGUUUGUUAAAACCUAUAUAUGCUCAAGUUAUGUAUGUCUUUAGACAUGUUCGAUCUCAGCCAUGUAAUAUUUAAAGAAAGGAAGAGAUGUAGGGGACGGCUUUUGUCUUCCCCCCUGUCUAAGCACAGAAUAGGGAAGCACCAGCUUGAGAACAACUGGUGCAGUCCUUGGAAGUUAUCUACCCACAAAAACAUAUCUUGUCCUCGAAAACGAGCCAAGACGCCUCACGCUGUAAACAGGGAGAUCUUGGGGAUGUGUGAAAACACUGCCCCUGCUUACUGGGCAGAUCCUAAGAAAUCAACAAGAUGUUCUGGUCUGUCCCCCCUGAGAAGGGAAAGAUGAGUAUAGCACUUGGCUGAGGUCCAAGAAAGGCAGUAUAAAAAUAAAGGAGCUGUGCCACAUUGGG